rnacentral:rRNA from 1 species
UACGGGGGGGGCAAGCGUUGUUCGGAAUUACUGGGCGUAAAGCGCGUGUAGGCGGCUCUUCAAGUCGAGUGUGAAAGCUCCAGGCUUAACCUGGGAAUUGCGCUCGAUACUGUUGAGCUAGAGUGUGGAAGGGGCUACUGGAAUUCCGUGUGUAGCGGUGAAAUGCGUAGAUAUCAGGAAGAACACCGAUGGCGAAAGCAGCUCUCUGGGACGGUACUGACGCUGAGGCGCGAAAGCGUGGGGAGCGAACAGG